rnacentral:lncRNA from 10 species
GGUCGACUUCCAUACUGUGGAAGCUUUGUUUUUUCGCUUUUUGCGGUAGAUAUUUCUACUACUCACUCUUUGGGUCCACGCUGCCUUUAUGAGCUGUAAUACUCACCGCAGAGGUCUGCAGCUUCACUCCUGAAGCCAGGGAGACCAGGAACCCACCGAGAGGAACAAACAACUCCAGACGCGCCGCCUUAAGAGCUGUAACACUCAGGGCGAAGGUCUGCAGCUUUACUCUGGAGCCAGCGAGACCACGAACCCACCAGAAGGAAGAAACUCCGAACGCAUCUGGACAUCAGAAGGAACAAACUCCGGACACGCCGCCUUUAAGAACUGUAACACUCACGGCGAGGGUCCGCCGCUUCUUUCUUGAACACUGCCUCUCUGUAGAGACACGCCUGGCCAGCAGCAGAAGCUCCAGCAUUCUUUGUUAUCACCUCUCUGGACUAAGUGAGAAGUCCACCCGUCCUAUCCCUCUUUACCUUCCAGUUGGGGUUGGGGCCAGCGACUGCUGCAUACUGUGGGUGGCAGUUUUGAGAUGCACCCACACGUUCUUCAGCACCCCUACCCCUGAGGGGUGAGGUCUGCCUCCUCCCCUGGGACCCAGGCUCAUCUUCAGGACUGGCGGAUCCACAGUGUCCAGCAGACAGUGUGUCUGCUGGGAUGGUGUCUGACUCCUGAGGAUGAGCCCUCAAAGGCACUGCAGCUUCUACACUGAGCGCUGCUGGGAGGUUCUUGCUGGAGCCCUGAGUGUUAAUAACACCCAACAAGUCCUGCCACCUGUGGCCGCCAUAAUGCCAGGAAGCACAAAAUAUCCCAUGGGGAGAGAGCACAUGGGAAGGGUUGAGGCUGUAUGAUGAGAUGCCUGGCCAGCCCCUGACAGCUCCUGUCACUGUCUGACUACACCGCAGAAAGCCCUAAGCCAGAGCCACCCAGCUGAGCCUUCCUGACACCAGGAGUGAGCAUAAAAUAACUGUGGUUGUUUUAAGACACUCAGUUUGGGACGAUUUGUUACACAGCAGUAGACAAUGAGGAUACCUGAUGCUCCCUGCUAUUACCCUUCUCGCUCCAGACUGGGAAACCCCAUGCUUCCUGGACAGCCCAUGGAUUCUUAGAGAGAGGGCCCAAGGGUUCUUCUCCUGCCAUUUCCAGCUCUCGGCCCUCAACAAGGCUGCUUCAGAUGACGAGGCACAAAUCCCAAGCCUUAUGCUUGCUUACUUACAAGUGCCUCUGCUAAUUUACUUUUAAUUCCUCCCUUUCUUUCAAAGGGCUUGCAGGUGCCUUGGCAUGCUCCCACAAGGAGUUAAAAUGAAAUCAAGGACAUUGGCAGACUUUAGUAGAAAAGUGGGGAAGAGAAAUGAAUAUAUCAGGAAUCUAAGAUAAAGUGGAUGCUGGCAUGGAGUUAAUACUUAACUCUCAUUUCUUGACAGCUAAGGGUUUUUUUUUUUUGAAGUGCCAGUUCUUUAAAAAAAAAAAAAGGUAGAGUAGUUCCUCCAGAGAGGCAAGUUAUUUUCCUGGCAUUUUUGCCCAGAAAAAUAAAGUAUUUAAAUAUACAGCAUAGGAAAUAACAUAACAUUUAAUGUUUCCAACAAAAUGUGUUUUCAGAGGAAUAAAACUCUCACGUGGUAAUUUUUCGUGUCGUUGCAUAAUAAAGUCCUUGGGCAAAAUGUUUUGUCCUCCUCUGGGCACAGCCUAUCUUUUGGCAGCUGGACAGAGCUCAGAAGACCCGGGAGACAGAAUCUGCCUUGGCGGGCAGGUCCCUUGUGGACAUCGGCAGCCCUUGCUGUGCUUUUAGCAGGAACAGGGUGAUGUCUCACCAAUGCCAGGGGCAGAUAUUCUGGGCCGUUGAAUGAGGCCGGAUCCACAUGCUCUUGAGCUUUCCAGACAAAGCAAAUGCUGACAUUCUGUUCCACAAGUCCUGUCGGGAACUCUGGCUCCAGUGGAGAGCCAGGGGACCGUGAGGGCCAGUCAGCGCCUGCUUCUCCCUUAGAAGGUUUGUUGGGCUGGAAUAUCUGGACGGCACUCCAUGGACUUCUCUGGAGCAUGAGACAAUCUGAAUAGGCACAGGUGGUGCCUUGGAUCUGUGCUGUGUGACUCAAGCUGCAGGCUGGAGGUUCUCCCUGGAGACAGCUCGGGCUGCUGUCCUGCUAUAGGAACUGGCCAGGCCUCCCUCUGCAGGCACCAAGUAAUGGCUUUGCGUUCUUGUUGGUCACGGCUAACAUGUAUUCAUGCCACACAAAACACAGGCACGUGCGGUGCGUGGGUUUUUAUGCCUUAUCGCCUGUACCAAAAAUAAAUCUUCCUUGUCAGGCCUGACUCCAGAGCAUGGGAGUGGGCACAGCGUCAGUCGUCUGGCACUGCCUCCCUUGUCAUCCUGGGGUUGCCAUCAUGGAAUGGAACUGCUCUCUGUCUGCUUUGUCUUACUCCUCCACUCCAGCGUGUACCCACAGAGAGGAAUGGCACAGGGGACACACAUUUCCCUGGAUGUGGGACAUCUGCAAGGGCUCUCUGUGUGUCCCUCCAGCAGGAGGGCUGUGUCCUGUUCUUUGGGGGAGCUGGGGAUCUGGUGGGUAUAAAUGCUCCACCUCCGGCUUCCAGCAUCCUAACAGAGGCUGCGCCCAUUUGGGCAGAAGAUUGGACCCGGGGCAGGGUCCGUGAGCACUGGGAGGCUCGCCAGUGGCUUGGCCCUGCGUAAACCUGGACAACUUGGACAAACUCUGGGGCAGGGUGGGGAGAGGCCCAGGAACUACCCUGGUGGAAAUUCCCACCCAUGUGGUGUGGGGGAUCCGGCUCUUGAUAUGUAGGGAAAUGACGAAUGUGCAAUUUUCUGCUCACCUGAGAUCCACGCUGGCCAUAAGAGCAUUAUUAUUUUCUGACAGGACAAUAAAAAUGCG